rnacentral:rRNA from 1 species
UACGGAGGGGGCUAGCGUUUGUUCGGAAUUACUGGGCGCAAAGCGCACGUAGGCGGCUUUGUAAGUUAGAGGUGAAAGCCCGGGGCUCAACUCCGGAAUUGCCUUUAAGACUGCAUCGCUAGAAUUGUGGAGAGGUAAGUGGAAUUCCGAGUGUAGAGGUGAAAUUCGUAGAUAUUCGGAAGAACACCAGUGGCGAAGGCGACUUACUGGACACAUAUUGACGCUGAGGUGCGAAAGCGUGGGGAGCAAACAGG